GGAGAGAUGGCGGAGUGGUCGAUCGCAUCGGUCUUGAAAACCGAAGCUCGCGCAAGCGGGCCGGGGGUUCGAAUCCCUCUCUCUCCGCCA
rnacentral:tRNA from 1 species